CGUAGGGUGCGAGCGUUAAUCGGAAUUACUGGGCGUAAAGCGUGCGCAGGCGGUUUGUUAAGAUAGGCGUGAAAUCCCCGGGCUCAACCUGGGAACUGCGCUUAUGACUGGCAAGCUAGAGUACGGCAGAGGGGGUGGAAUUCCACGUGUAGCAGUGAAAUGCGUAGAGAUGUGGAGGAACACCAAUGGCGAAGGCAGCCCCCUGGGUCGAUACUGACGCUCAUGCACGAAAGCGUGGGUAGCAAACAGGAUUAGAUACCCUGGUAGUCCACGCCCUAAACGAUGUCAACUAGUUGUUGGUAGGGUAAAACCUAUUAGUAACGUAGCUAACGCGUGAAGUUGACCGCCUGGGGAGUACGGCCGCAAGGUUA
rnacentral:rRNA from 1 species